rnacentral:rRNA from 1 species
GACGAACGCUGGCGGCGUGCUUAACACAUGCAAGUCGAACGGAAAGGCCCUGCUUUUGUGGGGUUAUCGAGUGGCGAACGGGUGAGUAACACGUGAGUAACCUGCCCUUGACUUUGGGAUAACUUCAGGAAACUGGGGCUACUACCGGAUCGGAGCUCCUGCUGCAUGGAGGGGGGUGGAAAGUUUCGGCGGUUGGGGAUGGACGCGCGGCUUAUCAGCUUGUUGGUGGGGUAGUGGCUGACCAAGUGUUUGACGGGUAGCCGGCCUGAGAGGGUGACCGGCCACAUGGGGACUGAGAUACGCCCCAGACGCCUACGGUAGGCAGCAGUGGGGAAUAUUGCACAAUGGGCGGAAGCCUGAUGCGGCAACGCCGCGUGCGUGAUGACGGCCUGCGGGUUGUAAACCGCUUUCGCCUGUGACGACGCGUGAGUGACGGUAAUGGGUAAAGAAGCACCGGCUAACUACGUG